rnacentral:lncRNA from 1 species
GAGGAGCUCCAGAGAGCGAAGGAGGAGCGGCCGCCCACGCCGGGCGGAGGGAAGGACGAGGACGGAGAGGCGGAGCUGAGUGACGGAAGGGACGAAGACAGCCAGUCAGAGAAAAACGGAGACAUGGAAAAUGCCCACAGGACCCACAUGUCUCCUCUGCUAUCGUCCCUGUCCUGCCUGGUCCUGUACCUGCGGCGACAGCAGCACUCCGCCUACCUGUCGCUGUCCCGCACCCCCAACUCGGCCGAGGCCUGGCGACUGCUGUGCCACUCCAGCCUGGCGCUGCUCAUCCUCUACAACCGGCACCGCGAGUGCGAGGUGGCCAAGCUGACCGUGCAGGAGUACCGCAACCGCUUCACGCCACCCGCGUCCGCCGCGCCGGCCGUCAACGGCGCCGCCCAGGCCCCGGCGGCCCCCGGCGCCCCGGCGCUGGAGACGGCCCUGUCCCCGUUCGAGCGCCAGGUCCUCUGCCACCUGCCCAGGGUGGGCGUGCUGGGCAAGCGCGGGCGCAUGCAGCCCCUGGUCCUGCCGCCCCACUCGGAGGCCUGCCUGGAGCUGCUGCUGCAGACGUGCCCCGACGUGGGCGUGGACCCCAAGAGCCCGUACGUCUUCUCGCGGCCGUACCACUCGCCCGCCACGCCGCUGCGCGGCACGGACCUGCUGCGGGGCCUGGCGCGCUCCAGCGGCGCCAAGAACCCCGCCGGGCUCACCGCCCCCCGCGCCCGCCGCCAGGUGGCCAUUCUCACGCAGCUGCUGCUGCUGGAGGAGGGGGAGCGGAAGCGGCUGGAGGACUUCCUGCAGAGGGAGUACCACGUGACGCAGAGCUGCGCCCGCAUCGGCCAGGACCCGGGCCUGAUGGGGCGCGUGGGGCGCGUGGUCCUGUACGGGGAGAAGGACGGGAUGCUGUUCAGGGGGAUGAGCCUCCAGCACAUCUGCCUGGAACUGGACGUCAUGUCGGGGAACUCUGCCGACUCGUUUUCAGAGGAGUCCGACGUGGAGGCGGCGAAGAGUAAGGAGAGGGUGGAGGUCAGUAAGAAGGCCGCUCCCUGCCCCCCUCGUCCCCCAAGCAGGAAGAAGGGGAGCAGCCCCCAACCCGCAGCGGUCACGCCUUCACCAGUGAGUCACAAGAGGAGGAGCUCGCAGCCCAAAUCAGGUCUGUGUCGUUCGUUCGUUCGUUCGUUUGUUCGUUUGUUUGUUUGUUCGUUUUUGAAUGGUGAACUCCGUUGAAGUUUCCUGUUCAUGGAUUAAAGGUCCCCCAUCAUGAUAAUGUCUCUUUGUCAGAUGAUUUGGCGUUAAUACGAGUUCCCCUGGCCUGUCUAUGGUCCUGCAGAGGCUAGAAAUGGUGAUCGGUGUAAAGAGCGCUUUGGCCAGAGAGCGACAGCUCAGACGGUCAGAUCUGGAAUUUGUCCCCUUAUGUCAUGCUUUUUCUGCCCAGAGAAUAGUCAGUCGUGGCUUCCAAAUGUGCGAAGCAUUGCAGUCGCUCGGUGAUCGGUGUUGAUGACGUCAUUUUCGAGAAUGCCC